UACGCAGGGUGCUAGCGUUGUUCGGAUUAACUGGGCGUAAAGGGUGCGUAGGCGGUUUUUUAAGUCAGGUGUGAAAUCCCGAGGCUCAACCUCGGAACUGCCUUUGAUACUGGAAAUCUUGAGUCUGGGAGAGGUGAGUGGAACUGCGAGUGUAGAGGUGAAAUUCGUAGAUAUUCGCAAGAACACCGGUGGCGAAGGCGGCUCACUGGCCCGGAACUGACGCUGAGGCACGAAAGCGUGGGGAGCAAACAGG
rnacentral:rRNA from 1 species